rnacentral:lncRNA from 1 species
AUUUCUAUUAAGAAAUAAAUAUGAAAGAGAAAAUGCCGCAGCGCCUUGUUGCCAUUGUGAACACUGUAGUUCAUCACUGCCAUCGACUCCUUACAUCUAUUGUCGCCGUAACCUGUUACUCAUGAGAAAACUUGCAAAACACAAUCAUACAAGCUGCAGAACAACAAACACGCAUCAAAGUAAAACCAACAUAGACUAAUCAACAAAAUAGCAUAAGUUGAUUUCCAACUAUAUCACAAUUUACUCUUUUAUAUUCAUUCUUCAAUAUCCACCAUUUAUGGGUUACAAUUCAAAGCAAGAACAGACCCAAAAAAUGCAUCCCGACCUCGUUUUUCCCGAUAUUUCACAUCAACGCUUAACUUUUAAAAUGAAAUAGGAGUAAAAUAAGUAGUUAAACGUAAAGGGUGAAUGGAGUUCGGUGAUGGUGUGAUUCACUCUGAGGAAUGAAAAACAUGGAGGAGUUUUGUUGCAGCCACGUUGAGUUUUAUGAUUUUUCAACUUAGUAAUCCCACAAACAAUUUAGGGUUAGUUUAGACAUUUUGUCAAAAUAUAAAUUUAAGAGAGUGGUCCUCGCGGGAUUUUCACGACA